UACGUAGGGGGCGAGCGUUGUCCGGAAUUAUUGGGCGUAAAGAGCGUGUAGGCGGUUCGGUAAGUCUGCCGUGAAAACCUGGGGCUCAACCCCGGGCGUGCGGUGGAUACUGCCGGGCUAGAGGGUGGUAGAGGCGAGUGGAAUUCCCGGUGUAGCGGUGAAAUGCGCAGAUAUCGGGAGGAACACCGGUGGCGAAGGCGGUUCUCUGGGCCUGUACUGACGCUGAGGAGCGAAAGCGUGGGGAGCGAACAGG
rnacentral:rRNA from 1 species